rnacentral:rRNA from 1 species
UUGAACGCUGGCGGCAGGCCUAACACAUGCAAGUCGAGCGGAUGAAGGGAGCUUGCUCCUGGCUUCAGCGGCGGACGGGUGAGUAAUGCCUAGGAAUCUGCCUGGUAGUGGGGGAUAACGUCCGGAAACGGGCGCUAAUACCGCAUACGUCCUGAGGGAGAAAGUGGGGGAUCUUCGGACCUCACGCUAUCAGAUGAGCCUAGGUCGGAUUAGCUAGUUGGUGGGGUAAAGGCCUACCAAGGCGACGAUCCGUAACUGGUCUGAGAGGAUGAUCAGGCACACUGGAACUGAGACACGGUCCAGACUCCUACGGGAGGCAGCAGUGGGGAAUAUUGGACAAUGGGCGAAAGCCUGAUCCAGCCAUGCCGCGUGUGUGAAGAAGGUCUUCGGAUUGUAAAGCACUUUAAGUUGGGAGGAAGGGCAGUAAGUUAAUACCUUGCUGUUUUGACGUUACCAACAGAAUAAGCACCGGCUAACUUCGUG